UACAGAGGGGGCGAGCGUUGUUCGGAAUUACUGGGCGUAAAGGGCGCGUAGGCGGCCUUCUAAGUCGAACGUGAAAUCCCCGGGCUCAACCCGGGAACUGCGUCCGAUACUGGGAGGCUUGAAUCCGGGAGAGGGAUGUGGAAUUCCAGGUGUAGCGGUGAAAUGCGUAGAUAUCAGGAGGAACACCUGCGGUGUAGACGGCUUACUGGACCAUAACUGACGCUGAGGCACGAAAGCGUGGGUAGCAAACAGG
rnacentral:rRNA from 1 species